GACGAACGCUGGCGGCGUGCUUAACACAUGCCAGUCGAACGGAAAGGCCCUGCUUUUGUGGGGUGCUCGAGUGGCGAACGGGUGAGUAACACGUGAGUAACCUGCCCUUGACUUUGGGAUAACUUCAGGAAACUGGGGCUAAUACCGGAUAGGAGCUCCUGCUGCAUGGUGGGGGUUGGAAAGUUUCGGCGGUUGGGGAUGGACUCGCGGCUUAUCAGCUUGUUGGUGGGGUAGUGGCUUACCAAGGCUUUGACGGGUAGCCGGCCUGAGAGGGUGACCGGCCACAUUGGGACUGAGAUACGGCCCAGACUCCUACGGGAGGCAGCAGUGGGGAAUAUUGCACAAUGGGCGGAAGCCUGAUGCAGCAACGCCGCGUGCGGGAUGACGGCCUUCGGGUGGUAAACCGCUUUCGCCUGUGACGAAGCGUGAGUGACGGUAAUGGGGAAAGAAGCACCGGCUAACUACGU
rnacentral:rRNA from 1 species